rnacentral:lncRNA from 1 species
ACCUGGUAGAAAAAGUUGUAUUUCAUUACUUAAGUUAAUGCUUCUUUCCACACAUUUUAACCAUCUUUCUAAUGGAAGCUUUGUUUUAUGUGACAGAUCACUUGGACAACUACUUAACUGGCCAGUGUUUUCAGCGACAAUUCUCUAAAUGGGUGCAUUGGGUGCUUAGGAGCAGUGGGACCUGGAGUUAA